GACUGUUCAGGUCAUUGAAAGCAAGGAAAGCCUGAUAAACUGCCACGGCCACGAGGAGUCUAAGGACACAUCCAAUUUCCAUUUGCAUCCAAAAUGGAAUCUGAGACAGAAAGAGGACCUUAGCCUUCAUAUCUGUUUUUUUCUUAUGAAGCUUCUUCUGGUUGGAAACUUGUCAAAUUUCAUCAGAUGGCUGGAACUCUCCCUGUCUCUUUUUCUCUCUGUCAUGACCGGCAAGAGCUCAUGGGCCAUGAGCUGCAUCUUCAUAAACAUGAACCGAUUAGCAGGUGUUCCCAAAUGGGACAAAUGCUACCUUAUUGCAGACAGUUUCUAGUAUAGUCCCACAUUCUUUGAGAAAGUAGGUGGAGACCCCGUCAGCACCAGGCUACUGGCAGCAAAUGAUUGUAGCCAGGAGCCAGAAUAGAGCAAGUCCAGCCUGAGCCUGUGGUCGGCAGUGGAGAAGAGAGGGUCGCAGACCUGAGGCAAAGGGCAGCCUGAACAACCAAGAACCAG
rnacentral:sRNA from 1 species